AGAGCGAACGCUGGCGGCAGGCUUAACACAUGCAAGUCGAGCGCCCCGCAAGGGGAGCGGCAGACGGGAGAGUAACACGUGGGAACGUACCUUUCGGUUCGGAACAACCCAGGGAAACUUGGGCUAAUACCGGAUACGCCCGUAAGGGGAAAGAUUUAUCGCCGGAAGAUCGGCCCGCGUCUGAUUAGCUAGUUGGUGGGUAACGGCUCACCAAGGCGACGAUCAGUAGCUGGUCUGAGAGGAUGAUCAGCCUCACUGGGACUGAGACACGGCCCAGACUCCUACGGGAGGCAGCAGUGGGGAAUAUUGGACAAUGGCGCAAGCCUGAUCCAGCCAUGCCGCGUGGGUGAUGAAGGCCCUAGGGUUGUAAAGCCCUUUCGGCGGGGAAGAUAAUGACGGUACCCGCAGAAGAAGCCCGGCUAACUUCGUGCCAGCAGCCGC
rnacentral:rRNA from 1 species